rnacentral:tmRNA from 1 species
GGGGCUGACUGGUUUCGACAUCAGAACUGUUGGGCGGGUUUGCGACCCGAGUUGCUCAGACUCGCUAAACGGGGCACCAACAAGAAUUGCCAACGAGCAGUUCACUCUCGCCGCCUGAUUUCAGGUGAGUGAAGAGUCAUCGUGAGCAGAAAUGUCGCACGGGGCCAAUCCAUCACAGCCCGGCAACAGAAGUGAGGGAUGACAGCAGGAAAGACUGCUGACGGCGAGAAAGACCGCUGACGGUUCGGAAAGACGAUCCGUGGCCCACCUCCGGGUGAGCAGCCGACCCGCCGGUAUACCUGCGUAGGUGUGAAGCGGGAAUGGUCGUAUCGGGUCCGUUCUCAGACUGUUGGACGGGGGUUCGAUUCCCCCCAGCUCCACUG